rnacentral:rRNA from 1 species
AUUGAACGCUGGCGGCAUGCCUUACACAUGCAAGUCGAACGGCAGCACGGGCUUCGGUCUGGUGGCGAGUGGCGAACGGGUGAGUAACGCCUCGGAACGUGCCCAGUCGUGGGGGAUAGCCCGGCGAAAGCCGGAUUAAUACCGCAUACGACCUACGGGUGAAAGCGGGGGAUCGCAAGACCUCGCGCGCUUGGAGCGGCCGAUGUCAGAUUAGGUAGUUGGUGGGGUAAAAGCCUACCAAGCCGACGAUCUGUAGCUGGUCUGAGAGGACGACCAGCCACACUGGGACUGAGACACGGCCCAGACUCCUACGGGAGGCAGCAGUGGGGAAUUUUGGACAAUGGACGCAAGCCUGAUCCAGCCAUGCCGCGUGCGGGAAGAAGGCCUUCGGGUUGUAAACCGCUUUUGUCAGGGAAGAAACGCUCUGGGCUAAUACCCCGGGGUAAUGACGGUACCUGAAGAAUAAGCACCGGCUAACUACGUGCCAGCAGCCGCCGUAACAC